GUUUCCCAAUGGCGGUUUACAAGGUAUUAUUGCUUACUUUUUCAGAAUAGUUGAAACUUCCCAAGGAUCUAAGGCUUUAAAACUUACAAGUGAAGACAAUUGCACUGGCAUCAUUUUCUAAAAGAGCAACCCAGUGCACGAGACUCUCGCUACUGUAAGGUUUGGGAGGGGCAAAUGUACGCAGCCUUACCCCAUGCUUUGUUAGAGGGGCUGUUUCCAAGUUUUGAACCUGUAGACAACAUGUUGCAAUGGUGCAACUUAACCGUUGUGCCAUAGGCUCUCCCACUACCGGUAUCAUUUUCUAAGCUACGUAUAUCAGACCACAUAGCUUGACUAGUAACUGUGUGAUUUAUUAUCUUUUUUUACAUGUAACCAGCAAAUGACCCACCAUUGUGAGGGGAUCUGGGGAACUGUAGAUAAAUAUAUCUGGCCUGAUGAUCUAUGUUUUGUAUAUUGAAGCAUCAUCUAAUGAAGCUCACAGAUUCCACUUAUUCUGUGCCCAAAAUCAAUUCAUUAAUGUGUUCUGACCACAAAAGUGACUAUUUGUUGGGCUAUCAUGGGUAUUUAACUUGAUUACCUAUAAGAAUGUUAUUUUUGGCUGGCUUAUGGACAAGGACAAAUGCUAGCCUACUUGGAAAACUGAUCAGUCUUGUAUGGAACAGACAGAAUGAUGCAAUUAAAUCACCUAAGUGUGCAUGUUUUAUUAGAAAUAAUCUUUGGGUUGGUUAUGUAUGUGUUGGACCUUUGAUCCCAUGUGUUUUCAUUGUAAUGGGCCACUUUACUAGCUAUAAUGUGGGUAGAAGCUAGUUAUACAAGAUUAGUUAAAUUAGAGUAUUUAUUUCUUUAUUGUACUUGUUAUUAAGUGUUUUAAUUAGUCUGGAUUGGGAUCCUAUAAGUCCAGUCCUAUUUUAAGUCACUUUCCUUUAUUAUUUCAGUUUCUUAGUCAGUUUUUGUUACUUUUAUCUGUUAAAGAUUGGGUUAGGCCUUUCCAUUUUAGUGUAGGAGUUUAUUUGUGAGUUUUCUAUAUAAGUUUGUAAAGGGAGGCCAUCAUUGUCCAGGAAUUAAAGUGCUAGUCGACACCUUCAAAUUACUCACUGUUAAUUGCUGUUUGAAGGUGAAUUACUUCUUGAUUCGAGUUCUGAUUUCAGUAUCUGAUAAUUGACAGUGUCUUCUAUCAUUGCUGAUUUCAAUUUCAGAAUCCAAUGGCUAUUUGCAGUAAUCCUAUUGUUACUAGGAUUGCUUGAUCUCAAUAGACUCAUGUUUGAGUCCUAUUUGAACAAGGAUUCGUACGCUACACUCAUAGAAGGUCAA